rnacentral:rRNA from 1 species
UACGAGUGCCCCAAGCGUUAUCCGGAAUCAUUGGGCGUAAAGGGUGUGUAGGUGGUCUGUUUAGUCUCCUGUCAAAUUCUCCGGCUCAACCGGAGGCCUGCAGGGGAAACGGGCAGACUAGAGGAUGUGAGAGGUGAAUGGAACUCAUGGAGUAGGGGUGAAAUCCGUUGAUAUCAUGGGGAACACCGAAAGCGAAGGCAAUUCACUGGCGCAUUCCUGACACUGAGACACGAAAGCGUGGGGAGCAACAGGG